rnacentral:rRNA from 1 species
UCGGGAAUUUUGUGCAAUGGGCGAAAGCCUGACACAGCAACGCCGCGUGAAGGAUGAAGUCCCUCGGGAUGUAAACUUCGUAAGAAUAGGAAGAAUAAAUGACGGUACUAUUUGUAAGGUCCGGCUAACUACGUGCCAGCAGCCGCGGUAAUACGUAGGGACCAAGCGUUGUUCGGAUUUACUGGGCGUAAAGGGCGCGUAGGCGGCAAUUCAAGUCAUCUGUGAAAUCUCCGGGCUUAACUCGGAACGGUCAGAUGAUACUGCUUUGCUAGAGUGCAGAAGGGGCAAUCGGAAUUCUUGGUGUAGCGGUGAAAUGCGUAGAUAUCAAGAGGAACACCUGAGGUGAAGACGGGUUGCUGGGCUGACACUGACGCUGAGGCGCGAAAGCUAGGGGAGCAAACGGGAUUAGAUACCCAUGUAGUCCCUGAGCGGGCUGGCAAGGCGCAU